rnacentral:misc_RNA from 1 species
AGCCGAGCGCUCCUUCUUCGAUCAGCCGGAGGCUUCCUCGAGCCCUGGUAGCCGCACGCCCCCUUGCUUCUCUCUUCCCCGGCGUCGUUCUCUCUCCCGGUGCUUUGUUGGCCGUCGAUUCCUCCAGCUUGUCCCAGCUCGCCCAGCUCGAAUCUCUUCCUGCCGGUGCUCUUCCUGGGAGCUUCCCUCAGCUUGCUCCUCCCAUGGCCGCGCCCUGGGAUUUGCUCGGAGCUCCCUCUGCUCAUCCCCAAGCCGCUCCUCCUCUCUCUCCCAUGGCGCUCGGUCCUCCUCUGCUCGGUUUUCCCUGCGUCGUGCACGUUCCGCCAUCUCCCUGCUGGCCAUCGCGUCCCUCUCUGCUCGCCAGCCGAAGCUCCCUGGCGCGUUCGCCCAGCGCGCCGUCUCAGCUCCAGCUCUUGCUCGGCCGCCGUUUACCCUGCUCGCCGCGGUGCUCCAUCUCUGCCAUCUGCUCGACGUUUCCUCGGCGCUGGAUUUUUUCUACGCUCCCUGCUCCAGCUCUGUUGCCGCGCAAGCUUGCCCUGGCUCGGAUCCGGCGCCCGGCGCCCAGCUCUGACCUCCCUCCCUGUCUUUCCCCGAGCUCGCGCUCAACCUGCUCGCCGGUCCCUCAUCGCCCAGCUCGGAUUUCGCUUGGUCGCAAGUCGUUCCCCGCGCGCGCCCAUCUCCCUGUUGUUGCGUUGGCCGGAGUUUCCUGCUCGCUCGGCCGGCCAUGGUGGCCGCGCAAGUCUCCUGACCGUGGGAAGCUCUGGCCCAGGCCACUGUUGUGGCCGGGAUAUGGCGCGUUCCUGCGCCCGGUCUUCGUCUCUAUCACGCCGAUCUGCGCUCGUCCGUGGCCGUCGACCCCGCCUAGCUCUUUGCUCGCCAUAGCCCUGGUCGUCGCAUCGCUGUGCGCAACGGAAGCGUGGUGGGUAUUGGUCGCGGGCAAGGUUGGACGACGCGAGAUCUAGGCACGCUGUCGUUUCAUUAUGCCCAGCGUCAUGCCUUUUGUACAAGUCGUCGAUUUCUUAUUCACCACAACGCCGUCAUCCCCUGUCAUGCCCUGGAUGUUGUACUCGUUGUGGUCGGCUCUGGUGGUCGGCAUCAUCGAUCGUCAAUUCCGUCAAUAGCCAUGUUCAUUAGUUAUUGUUCCGUACUUUACGAGAAAGAAAUCUAGGGAAUCUGGGUAAAGAAAAAGCGAACCACAUCCGUCGCUUCUAUGGUGUGCUGAGAAAUGCUCCUACCGGACAUCACCGUCAAUUUCACGAAUUCAGAUCGGGUUUAGGUAACGAUAAGCCGAUUUAUUAGUUCAGAUAGUGUUUGAUUGAUGAUUUGGAUAUAUUAAUUACGUCGGUCCUUCUGCUCGUAGCAUAUGUGUAUUGUGGUAGUAGAUAUAAUAUUUAUUAGGAUAUCCG